rnacentral:lncRNA from 1 species
CAAGAGUUGAAAUGAAGAAUGUGCUCUGAUACUUCAGUCUGAGAGUAUUUCUUUCCUGGAGAGAGAGGCAUCACUCCUAGAUGUGUGGGGGUCUUCACCCUUUCAGGAAUAAGACAGGUCCCUGCAGAGACUUUGGACCUGAUGUGGUGAAUAAAGUUGGUUAGUCUUUCUCACAGUUCUACCUUUAGGACAAAGAAUAGAAAGCCUCCCGUGACUAUAUUCACUAACUCUCAGCCCAGGCCAGAUCAUCCACCAGCCAGUGAAAGGGACCUCGUCUGUGGCCAAACUAGGUGCAGCUCGGUGCCCUCCUGUGAUAUUUCCAGCUCUCCAGCCUCCUGCUGACCACAGCUCACAGACCUCAUGGAGUAGUUUCCAGGACAAAGCAAGGUUAUGUCUCCACAACACCAAACAUUCCCAGGUGUGGCAGGCAAGCCAUUGAUUUAGAAGAGAGGAGGAGAGAGGAAGAGAAAACCAGAAAAGGCACUUUCUUGGUAAAGAGACAUCAGCUUUCUCACCAUGGCUGUUUCAUAACACAAGGAGACCUGGCCCAAGCUCAGAGGGGAAAGACCCCUGGGUGUUCAUGGAAAACCUUUAAGCACAGUGAGACCAAAUGUUAGUAGAUGGGGGAUAAAAGGGAGAAAUUCAUGGAGUAUGCCUAGAACAGGCCUUGUAUGCAGCAUCCCCUUCUUGCCUAGGACUUGAAGGGCCAGGCUUCCUGUCAUUGCCUCACUCAAAU